rnacentral:snRNA from 1 species
GUGCUCGCUUCGGUACCAUGUAUACUAAAAUUGGAAGCAUACGGAGAAGAUUAGCAUGGCCCCUGCACAAGGAUGACACACA